GCUGGGCAUGGUGGCUCAUGCCUGUAAUCCCAGCACUCUGGGAGGCCGAGGUGGGUGGAUCACCUGAGGUCAGGAGUUCGAGACCAGCCUGGCCAACAUGGUGAAACCCCGUCUCUA
rnacentral:SRP_RNA from 2 species